rnacentral:tRNA from 1 species
AACUUUGUAGUAUAAAAAUAACGCUAAAUUGCAAGUUUAGAGAUGUGUGUAUCACCGGGGUUU